AGAAUCAACGCUGGCGGCGUGCCUAACACAUGCAAGUCGCACGAGAAAGGGUAGCAAUACCUGAGUACAGUGGCGCACGGGUGAGUAACACGUGAAUAAUCUACCUCCGAGUGGGGAAUAACUGAGAGAAAUCUUAGCUAAUACCGCAUAAUACCCACGGGUCAAAGCAGCAAUGCGCUUGGAGAGGAGUUCGCGGCAGAUUAGUUAGUUGGCGGGGUAAUGGCCCACCAAGACGAUGAUCUGUAUCCGGCCUGAGAGGGCGCACGGACACACUGGAACUGAAACACGGUCCAGACUCCUACGGGAGGCAGCAGUGGGGAAUUUUGCGCAAUGGGGAAACCCUGACGCAGCAACGCCGCGUGGAGGAUGAAGCCCCUUGGGGUGUAAACUCCUUUCGAUCGGGAAGAUAAUGACGGUACCGAUAUAAGAAGCCCGGCUAACUUCGCGCCAGCAGCCGC
rnacentral:rRNA from 1 species